rnacentral:rRNA from 1 species
AGCGAACGCUGGCGGCAGGCUUAACACAUGCAAGUCGAGCGGACCUUUCGGGGUCAGCGGCGGACGGGUGAGUAACGCGUGGGAACGUGCCUUCCGGUUCGGAAUAACCCUGGGAAACUAGGGCUAAUACCGGAUACGCCCUUAUGGGGAAAGGUUUACUGCCGGAAGAUCGGCCCGCGUCUGAUUAGCUAGUUGGUGGGGUAACGGCCUACCAAGGCGACGAUCAGUAGCUGGUCUGAGAGGAUGAUCAGCCACACUGGGACUGAGACACGGCCCAGACUCCUACGGGAGGCAGCAGUGGGGAAUAUUGGACAAUGGGCGCAAGCCUGAUCCAGCCAUGCCGCGUGAGUGAUGAAGGCCUUAGGGUUGUAAAGCUCUUUUAUCCGGGACGGUAAUGACGGUACCGGAGGAAUAAGCCCCGGCUAACUUCGUG